ACAUACACUCAGAGACUGAAAUCAUGAAUAAGACCUCCCAUGAAAGAACAAGAAGUCUUUGGGGAGAGGAAGAGGGCACAGGGAACUGGGGAGAGAAAAAAAUGAAUUGUGUGGCUUUAAUGAACAAAACAACAGAGUACUCCUUGGCCCCAACCGUGGCGUUUCAAUAAAUUAAGCCCUGGGCCCAAUGUGGUUGGCACAACUGGAAUCGGUGGUAGCAUGGAAAUACUGCCAGUCACAGAAGGGGAUCUGGCCCUGUUGAAGAACCAAGGACAGAAUACUCAACUCCAACACAGUCAGAAGCAAUCUGAAGAAACACAAGAGGUACAGGUAUCUAGCAUCUGGAAAAGAUCAUGUCUCAUAGGCACUUCAUGCGAAGAGGGUGUAAGUACUUCUUUGUCCUACACAUGUAACUCCAGCGGGCUAUUGGCCUUGCUCUCCAGAUAGAAGGGAUCCAUUGCCUUUAAAUUGUAACAUCAUGGAGCAAUUAAAGAGAAAAAGUCUCUAUACUGAUAAUCUGUUUCCCAAUCAUUCAGUUUUUCUGAUUGAAACUGCAAACAGUGUGUGAAAGAAUAGACUAAAGAAGAAUGCAUAGAAGGAAGUAGGAAUAAAUACAUCCAUUACACUGUCUGAACA
rnacentral:lncRNA from 1 species